rnacentral:tRNA from 1 species
GCCCCCGUAGCAUAGUAGCUAUUGCGGCUGACUUGUAAUCAGCAGGUCGCGAGUGCAAUUCUCGCCGGGGGCU